rnacentral:rRNA from 6 species
UUAAAUUGAAGAGUUUGAUCAUGGCUCAGAUUGAACGCUGGCGGCAGGCCUAACACAUGCAAGUCGAGCGGCA